CCUACGGGAGGCAGCAGUGGGGAAUAUUGCGCAAUGGGCGAAAGCCUGACGCAGCGACGCCGCGUGAGGGAUGAAGUUCUUCGGAUCGUAAACCUCUGUCAGCAGGGAAGAACGGUCACUGUGCUAAUCAGCAGUGCAUCGACGGUACCUGCACAGGAAGCACCGGCUAACUCCGUGCAAGCAGCCGCGGUAAGACGGAGGGUGCGAGCGGUAAUCGGAAUUAGUGGGCGUAAAGCGCUCGUAGGCGGUAUGGCCAGUCAAGGGUGAAAUCCCCGGGCUCAAGGUUGGAACUGCCGUUGAAACUGGCAAACUGGAGUGUGUGAGAGGAUAGUGGAAUUCCAGGUGUAGGAGUGAAAUCCGUAGAUAUCUGGAGGAACAUCAGUGGCGAAGGCGACUAUCUGGCACAUAACUGACGCUGAGGAGCGAAAGCGUGGGUAGCAAACAGGAUUAGAUACCCCGGUAGUC
rnacentral:rRNA from 1 species